UACGUAGGGGGCAAGCGUUGUCCGGAUUUAUUGGGCGUAAAGCGCGUGUAGGCGGCCAGAUAGGUCUGCUGUGAAAACUCGAGGCUCAACCUCGAGCUGUCGGCGGAAACCAUCCGGCUUGAAUCCGGGAGAGGGAUGCGGAAUUCCAGGUGUAGCGGUGAAAUGCGUAGAUAUCUGGAGGAACACCGGUGGCGAAGGCGGCAUCCUGGACCGGCAUUGACGCUGAGGAGCGAAAGCCAGGGGAGCGAACGGG
rnacentral:rRNA from 1 species